UUCUGUUCUGGGGAUCUUCAUUGGCUGAGUCUCUCCUGCCUGCAGCUGGCUGAUGUGUUCUCAAUUGCAGUCUGUGUAGACAAUAUGAGAACAGGAGGCCAGAAAGCAUUCAGAUUCUUUAAGGGACCGCCUCUUUCUCAACGAUUUUGUAACUUGUUAAAGCAAGAGACCUGCCCAACCCAGGCUCCCCAUUCCUUCUAGCUCCCGAGGCUCCGUUAACUCUGCUCUUGUCCACCUGCUCAGGGUCCAGCAGCGUCACUGUGGCUCCGCCAUGCUCCUGAUGCUCAUCCCGGUGCUUGAGAUCGUUUUUGCCCUGAGAGGAACCGGAGCCCAGUCAGUGACCCAGCCUGACCGCUCUGUCUCCGUCUCUGAAGGAGCCCGGCUGGAGCUGAGGUGCAACUACUCAUCCUCUGUUUCCCCGUAUCUCUUCUGGUAUGUGCAAUACCCCAACAGAGGACUCCAGCUUGUCCUGAAUUACUUUGUGGGGGCUACAGUGGUUAAAGGCAUCAACGGUUUCCAGGCUGAAAUUAGGAAGAGUGAAACCUCCUUCCACCUGGAGAAACCCUCAGCGCAUCUGAGCGACUCCGCUGAGUACUUCUGUGCUCUGAGUGACACAGUGCCUGGGACUGCAAGGGGAGCUGAACACAAACCUGAAACAAGGGACUUUGUGUGACCCAAGAACUCAAUCUGUGGAGUUUUUAAGAAGGUCUCUUUUACUGUGACAACAAAGGGCAGGUUGGGCUGAGCCAGAUGCAUUUUGUACCAGACAGAAGUCUUCUGAUGAAUUUCUCCAGGAAGGAUGCCCCAGCCCCAACUCCCACUCUACCCCCACACUUCAAUGAGAGUCCAUCAUGACGUGUCAGAGGUCUGAAGUAAAAUAGGA